rnacentral:rRNA from 1 species
UCAAGCUACUAAGGGCAUACGGUGGAUGCCUAGGCGCCAAGAGCCGAAGAAGGACGCGGUAAGCUGCGAAAAGCCACGGGGAACUGCAAGCAAGUAUUGAUCCGUGGAUAUCCGAAUGGGGAAACCCGGCCAUCGUCAUGGAUGGUCACCCGCAAGGGAGGGAACCUGGGGAACUGAAACAUCUAAGUACCCGGAGGAAGAGAAAUCAAACGAGAUGCCCACAGUAGCGGCGAGCGAAGAGGGCAGAGCCCAAACCGAGAAGCUCCGGCUUUUCGGGGUUGAGGACCGGCAGAAUCGAAGUCAGGCCUAGUCGAAUUACCUGGAAAGGUAAGCGAGAGAGGGUAAAAGCCCCGUAGACGAAAGGCAGAGCAGAGAGGCCGAGAUCCAGAGUACCACGAAGCACGAGGAAUUUUGUGGGAAGCAGGGGGGACCACCCUCCAAGGCUAAAAACUACUUGGCGACCGAUAGCGCAUAGUACCGUGAGGGAAAGGUGAAAAGAACCCCGGGAGGGGAGUGAAAUAGUACCUGAAACCGUAUGUCUACAAGCAGUCGAAGCGAAAGCGACGGCGUGCCUAUUGAAGAAUGAACCAACGAGUUAUCUGCACUAGCGAGGUUAAGUGGAAGACACGGAGCCGUAGCGAAAGCGAGUCUUAAGAGGGCGCAAGUUAGUGUAGGUAGACCCGAAACCGCAGUGAUCUACCCAUGUCCAGGUUGAAGCGCAGGUAAAAUUGCGUGGAGGACCGAACCGGUGAGCGUUGAAAAGCUUUCGGAUGAGAUGUGGGUAGGGGUGAAAUUCCAAUCGAACGCGGAGAUAGCUGGUUCUCCCCGAAAUAGCUUUAGGGCUAGCCUGAGGUAGUAAGUAUAGGCGGUAGAGCACUGAUCGGGCUAGGGGCCGUAAAGGUUACCGAACCCUGUCAAACUCCGAAUGGAUAUACUGUAGAGCCUUGGAGUCAGACUACGAGUGAUAAGAUCCGUGGUCAAAAGGGAAACAGCCCAGACCACCAGCUAAGGUCCCCAAUGUCGUACUAAGUGGAAAAGGAUGUGGGGUUUCAUAAACAACCAGGAUGUUGGCUCAGAAGCAGCCACCAUUUAAAGAGUGCGUAAUAGCUCACUGGUCGAGAGACCCUGCGCCGAAGAUUCCCGGGGCUAAAGUACGAAACCGAAGCUGUGGCUGUAUACGUAAAGUAUACGGGGUAGGGGAGCGUUCCCAUAGGGUAGAAGUCGAACUGGAAGGUUCGGUGGACUUGUGGGAAGUGAGAAUGUUGGUAUGAGUAGCGAAAAGAAAGGUGAGAAUCCUUUCCACCGAAAGCAUAAGGAUUCCUGAGCAACGAUCGUCGUCUCAGGGUAAGUCGGGACCUAAUCCGAGGCAGAGAGCGUAGGAGAUGGACAACUGGUUGAUAUUCCAGUACCGGUAGUAAUUGUUUGAGCAAUGGAGUGACACAGAAGGGCAGGCAAGCAUGCGAAUGGAAGAGCAUGUGUAAGCGUGUAGGGUGGUGCAUAGGCAAAUCCGUGCACUGAAAGCCUGAGGCGUGAUGCGGAGUGAGCAGAGAUGCGAGCGAAGUUGUUGACCCCACACUGUCGAGAAAAGCUUCUAGUGAGAGAGCUACCGCCCGUACCGUAAACCGACACAGGUAUGCGGGGAGAGAAUCCUAAGGUGCGCGGGAGAACCCUCGUUAAGGAACUCGGCAAAAUGUACCCGUAACUUCGGGAUAAGGGUAGCCACUGUUGUGAAGUCCCACGCGGAUGGAGCAUAGAGUGGUCGCAGAGAAGAGGCCCAAGCGACUGUUUACCAUAAACACAGGUGCCUGCUAAAGCGAAAGCUGACGUAUAGGUGCUGACACCUGCCCAGUGCCGGAAGGUUAAGGAAGGAUGUUCGGAUUAGUCCAAAGCAUUCGACUGAAGCCCCGGUGAACGGCGGCCGUAACUAUAACGGUCCUAAGGUAGCGAAAUUCCUUGUCGGGUAA